GAUGAAGAACGUAGCUAAAUGCGAUAAGUAGUGUGAAUUGCAGAAUUCAGUGAAUCAUCGAAUCUUUGAACGCACAUUGCGCCCUUUGGUAUUCCUUAGGGCAUGCCUGUUCGAGCGUCAUUUAAACCUUCAAGCUAAGCUUGGUGUUGGGUGACUGUCCGCUUCACGGCGGACUCGCCUCAAAAUUAUUGGCGGCCGGUACAUUUGCUUCGAGCGCAGCAGAAACGCGAACUCGGGCCCGUCGUAUUGGCUCCCAGAAGCUAUCUUCACAAUUUUGACCUCGGAUCAGGUAGGGAUACCCGCUGAACUUAAGCAUAUCAAUAAGCGGAGGA
rnacentral:misc_RNA from 1 species